rnacentral:tRNA from 1 species
UUAUGGCAGAACAAAUGUAUUAAAUUUAAAAUUUAAGUAUGAAAUUUUUCUUUUAGUA